rnacentral:rRNA from 1 species
AAUCAACGCUGGCGGCGUGCCUCAGACAUGCAAGUCGAACGCGAAAGUCCCCUUCGGGGGACGAAGUAGAGUGGCGCACGGGUGAGUAACACGUAGGUAAUCUACCUUUGGAUGGGGAAUAACAACCGGAAACGGUUGCUAAUACCGCAUAAUGCAGCGGCACCUAAUGGUGACAGUUGUUAAAGCGGGGGAUCGAAAGACCUCGCGUCUGAAGAGGAGCCUGCGGCGGAUUAGCUAGNGGUUAAGGGUAAUGGCUUACCAAGGCUACGAUCCGUAACCGGCCUGAGAGGGCGGGUCGGUCACACUGACACUGACAUACGGGUCAGACUCCUACGGGAGGCAGCAGUCGGG